CCCCCGACCCAAGCCUGGACAUCCCCUGUACAAGAACUACAUGAAACAGGACGUCCUGGUUCUGUUGGAGAAGAUAGACUCCGCCCACGAUGACUGUCUCCUGGGGGAGGAGUCAGGUCGGGUUCAAGGGUCACACAUGACUGUUAUCAACCCUCUGUCUGACCAAUCACGGCCUCCCAACAACCAACAAAACCAAUCGGAUCCCGCCUCGAAUGACAAGAGCCAAUUGAAGCCUCCCUCUGAAUACAAGAGCCAAUCAGAACCUCCGUCCAUCCUCCCAUCUCAGACCAGUGUAGAGAAGACCCAGGUUACAGCACCUGUCAGCGGUCCGAGGUGUGUGGCGCGGUUCGACUACGAGGGUGAGGAGGAAGACGAGCUGACCUUCUCCGAGGGUAACGUCAUCGCUCUGACGGAGGUGAUUGAUCAGGAGUGGGGCGGGGUCAAAUCCACGGGCGAAUAGGAAUCUUCCCCUGGCCUUCACCGAGAUCCUGGAGGAACCACCCCCAUCGCCAGGGUUACAGACCAUUGUCGAGACAACUGAAUCAUCAGACGUUCCAGACCAGUGGGUUGUGGCUCUCCACGACUUCCCAGGUCAGACUGCAGAGGACAUGUGGUUCCAGCAGGGGGCGCUGAUCAGAGUAACGGAGCGUGUCGACGCAGACUGGACCAGAGGAACACUGGACGGACGGGAGGGACUGUUCCCCACUACCUUCACACGCACCUGUAACACAGCUCAGCCAAUGACGGGCCAGCCUGUGGCCAGGGGCGUGGCCAAGGUCCUGUUUGAUUUCAGUGGAGAGAGAGAAGAUGAGCUCUCACUGAAGGCAGGGGAGGUAGUAACAGAGGUGGUGACAGUAGAUGAGGAGUGGUAUCUGGCGGAUGCAGGAAGUAGACGAGGCCUGGUCCCCAAAAACUACCUGUCACUGCUUCCUGACAGCUGCAAAUAGGACUAUGUGAUAUAUAUAUAUAAACUACAUUGCCAUAAGUAUGUGGAAACCCUUUCAAAUUAGUGGAUUCAGCUAUUUCAGCUACACCCGUUGCUGACAGGUGUGUAAAAUCGAGCGCGACGCUUUGCAAUCUCCAUAGACAAACAUUGGCAGUAGAAUGGCCCGUACUGAAGAGCUCGGUGACUUUCAACGCGGGCACCGUCAUAGGAUGCCACCUGUUUGACAAGUCAGUUGGUCAAGUUUCGUCCGGUCACCUGUAAGUGUUGAUAUUGUGAAGCUCACCUCUUAUUGGACUCUGGAGCAGAGGAAAACGCGUUCUCCGGAGUGAUGAAUCGCGCUUCACCAUCUGGCAUUCUGACGGACGAAUCUGGGUUUGGUGGAUGGCAGGAAAACGCUACCUGCCCCAAUGCGUAGUGCCAACUGUAAAGUUUGGUGGAGGAGGAAUAAUGGUUUGGGCCCCUUAGUUCCAGUGAAGGGAAAUCUUAACGCUAUAGCAGACAGUGACAUUCUAGACGAUUCUGUGCUUCCAACUUUAUGGCAACAGUUUGGGGAAGGUCCUUUCCUGUUUCAGCAUGAAUAUGCCCCCGUGCUCAAAGCGAGUUCCAUACAAAAAUGGCUUGUUGAAAUCAGUGUGGAAGAACUUGACUGGCCUUCACAGUGCCCUGACUUCAACCCAUCAAACACCUUUGGUAUGAAUUGUAAGUCCCUGCAGCAAUGUUCCAACAUUCUAGUGGACAGUCUUCCCAGAAGAGUGGAGGCUGUUUUAACAGCAAAUUGGGGACCAACUCCAUUUUAAUGUCCAUGAUUUUUGAAUGAGAUGUUCGACGAGCAGGUGUCCACAUACUUUUGGUAAUGUAGUGUAUCUUUGAAUAUGUGCCUUCAGAAAAUAUUCAUACCCCUUUCACUUAUUCCAUAUUUUGUUUUACAGCCUGAAUUCAAAGUUGAUUAAAUAGUUUUUUUCUCACAGAUCUACACACAAUAACCCAUAAUGACAUCACAAUACCCCAUAAUGACAUCACAAUACCCCACAAUAACCCAUAAUGACAAAGUGAAAACAUGUUCUUAGAAAUGUUUGCAAAUUUAUUGAAAAAUGAAAUGCAGAAAUAUCUCAUUUACAAUAAGUAUUUACAUCCCUGAGUCAAUACUUUGUAGAAGCACCAUUGACAGUAAGUCUUUCUGGGUAAGAGCUUUCCACACGUGGAUUGUGUAACAUUUGCCCAUUUUUCUAAUUUUCAAAAUUCUUCAAGCUCUGUCAAAUUGGUUGUUGAUCAUAGACAAAUUUAUUUGAAAAUCUAUAUCAAGAACAGGAUUCGAUCCAAACUGCCACUCAGGAACAUUCUCUGUCUUCUUGGUAAAUAACUCCAGUGUAGAUUUGGCCUUGUGUUUUAGGUUAUUGUCCUGCUGAAAGGUGAUUUCAUCUCCCAGUGUCUGGUGGGAAGCAGACUGGACCAGGUUAUUGUCCUGCUGAAAGGUGAUUUCAUCUCCCAGUGUCUGUUGGAAAGCAGACUGAACCAGGUUCUCCUCUAGGAUUUUGCCUGUGCUUAGCUCAAUUCCAUUGAUUUUUUUUUUAUCCUGAAAAACAAUCUAGUCCUAAAGGAUUUCAAGCAUACCCAUAACAUGAUGCAGCCACCACCAUGCUUCAAAAUACGAAGCGUGUUCCUCAGUGACGUGUUGGAUUUCCCAAACAUAAUGCUUUGUAUUUCAGAACAAAAAUUUCAUUUCAUUCAUUUUUUGCCGUUUUUAACUAAGUGCCUUGGUUUGGAAUAUUUGUGUUCUGUACAGGCGUCCUUCUUGUCCUGGUCAUUGAGAUUGAAUCUGUGUUUGAAAUGCACUGCUCAACUGAGGGAUCUUACAGAUAAUUGUAUGUGUGGGGUACAGAGAUGAGGGACCUUACAGAUAAUUGUAUGUGGGGGUACAGAGAUGAGGGACCUUACAGAUAAUUGUACGUGUGGGGUACAGAGAUGAGGGACCUUACAGAUAAUUAUGUAUGUGUGGGGUACAGAGAUGAGGGACCUUACAGAUAAUUGUACGUGUGGGGUACAGAGAUGAGGAUGUCAUUAAUAAUCAUGUUAAACACCAUUAUUGAACACAGUGAGUCCAUGCAACUUAUUAUGUGACUUGUUGAGCACAUUUUUACUCCAGAACUUAUUUUAGGUUUGUCAAAACAAAAGGGGUUGAAUACUGAUUGACUCAAGACAUUUCAGAUUUUAAUUUUUUAUUCAUUUGUAAACAUUUCUAUAAAAAAAAAAACAUAUUUCCACUUUGACAUUAUGGGGUAUUGUGAUGUCAUUAUGGGGUAUUGUGAUGUCAUUAUGGGGUAUUGUGUGUCGUCCAGUGACGAAAUCUCAAUUGAAUCCAUUUUAAAUUCCGUCUGUAACAGAACAGCAUGUGGAAGAGGUCAAGGGGUGUGAAUAUACACUGAGUAUAAAAGCAUUGCUGAAUCCAGGUAAAAACCUAUGAUGCUUUUUAAUCGAUCCGAAAUCCACUUUAAUCAAGUGUAGAUGAAGAGAAGGAUUCAGAUUAAAGAAGGAUUCUUGAGCCUCGGCGUAUCGGUGCCAUUCAGAAGGUGAACGGACAAGACAAAAUAUUGAAUUGCCUUUGAACCGGGUACUGUGUUAGGCGCACCGGUUUGUGUCAAGAACUUCCAACGCUGCUGGGUUUUUCACGCUCAACCGUUUCCUGUUUGUAUCCAGAAUGGUCCACCAUCCAAAGGAGGUCCAACCAACUUGACACAACUGUGGGAAGCAUUGAGUCAAACAUGGGCCAGCAUCCCUGUGGAACGCUUUCCACACUUUUUGUAGAGUCCAUGUCCUGACGAAUUGAGGCCGUUCUGAGGGCAAGAGGGGGUGCAAUUGAAUGUUAGGAAGGUGUUCCUAAUGUUUUGUCCACUGUGUAUAUAGCAGGUUUGUGAGGUACAGGGACUGAGAAAGUGUUUGUUAAGAGAAUGAAUGAGUGUGUGUUGUAGUACUGAUGUGGUUGAUGAGCAUUCUGUUUACAUCUCAGUAUGAUAAGGAAUAGAUCGAAAACAGUUUAACACCAAACUACCCUCCACAGACACCAAACCACCCUCCACAGACACCAAACUACCCUCCACAGAUACCAAACUACCCUCCACAUUGACACCAAACCACCCUCCGCAUUGACACCAAACUACCCUCCGCAUUGACACCAAACCACCCUCCACAUUGACACCAAACCACCCUCCACAGACACCAAACCACCCUCCGCAUUGACACCAAACUACCCUCCACAUUGACACCAAACUACCCUCCGCAUUGACACCAAACCACCCUCCGCAUUGACACCAAACUACCCUCCACAUUGACACCAAACUACCCUCCACAGAUACCAAACUACCCUCCACAUUGACACCAAACCACCCUCCGCAUUGACACCAAACUACCCUCCGCAUUGACACCAAACCACCCUCCACAUUGACACCAAACCACCCUCCACAGACACCAAACCACCCUCCGCAUUGACACCAAACUACCCUCCACAUUGACACCAAACUACCCUCCGCAUUGACACCAAACCACCCUCCGCAUUGACACCAAACUACCCUCCGCAUUGACACCAAACUACCCUCCGCAUUGACACCAAACUACCCUCCGCAUUGACACCGAACUACCCUCCGCAUUGACACCAAACCACCCUCCGCAUUGACACCAAACCACCCUCCGCAUUGACACAAACCACCCUCCGCAUUGACACCAAACUACCCUCCGCAUUGACACCAAACUACGCUCCACAUUGACACCAAACUACCCUCCACAGACACCAAACCACCCUCCACAGACACCAAACCACCCUCCAUAGACACCAAACCACCCUCCACAUUGACACCAAACUACCCUCCACAGACACCAAACUACCCUCCACAGACACCAAACCACCCUCCACAUUGACACCAAACCACCCUCCGCAUUGACACCAAACCACCCUCCGCAUUGACACCAAACCACCCUCCGCAUUGACACCAAACCACCCUCCGCAUUGACACCAAACCACCCUCCAUAGACACCAAACCACCCUCCACAGACACCAAACCACCCUCCACAGACACCAAACCACCCUCCAUAGACACCAAACCACCCUCCAUAGACACCAAACCACCCUCCACAGACACCAAACCACCCUCCACAUUGA